AAUAGAUACCCGGGUAGUCCAUGCCGUAAACGUUGGGAACUAGAUGUGGGGACCAUUCCACGGUCUCCGUGUCGCAGCUAACGCAUUAAGUUCCCCGCCUGGGGAGUACGGCCGCAAGGCUAAAACUCAAAGGAAUUGACGGGGGCCCGCACAAGCGGCGGAGCAUGCGGAUUAAUUCGAUGCAACGCGAAGAACCUUACCAAGGCUUGACAUAUACGAGAACGCUGCAGAAAUGUAGAACUCUUUGGACACUCGUAUACAGGUGGUGCAUGGUUGUCGUCAGCUCGUGUCGUGAGAUGUUGGGUUAAGUCCCGCAACGAGCGCAACCCUCGUCGUAUGUUGCCAGCACGUAAUGGUGGGAACUCAUAUGAGACUGCCGGGGUCAACUCGGAGGAAGGUGGGGAUGAGGUCAAAUCAUCAUGCCCCUUAUGUCUUGGGCUUCACGCAUGCUACAAUGGCCGGUACAAAGGGCUGCGAUACCGCAAGGUGGAGCGAAUCCCAAAAAGGCCAGUCUCAGUUCGGAUUG
rnacentral:rRNA from 1 species